CUUAUACACUCUGUGAUGGGUAGCAGGAAAGCAGCUUCUUGCUGAUGACCGGCGCACGGGUGCGUAACAGCAUAUGCAAACUACCUCAUACAGGAGAAUAGCCCUUGUGAAACGAGGAUUAAUACUCCACUGGUAUCAUUAUUUUCUGCAUGUCUAAAAUGAUUAAAGAAUUUCGGUAUUAGAUGGGCAUGCGUCCCAUUAGCUAGUUGGUGAGGUAACGGCUCACCAAGGCAACGAUGGGUAUGGGGGCCUGAGAGGGUGUGUCCCCCACACUGGUACUGAGACACGUGACCAGACUCCUACGGGAGGCAGCAGUGAGGAAUAUUGGACAAUGGUCGAAAGACUGAUCCAGCCAUGCCGCGUGCAGGAUGAAUUGCCUAUGGGUUGUAAAACUGCUUUUAUACGUGGGAAGAACACCAACCACGUUGUGGGUGACUGACGGUACCGUACGAAUAAGGACCGGCUAACUCCGUGCCAGCAGGCGGCGGUAUACGGAGGGUCCAAGCGUUAUCCGGAAUCCUUGGGUUUAAAGGGUCCGGAAAGCGGGCUAUUAAGGUCAGAUGUUGAAGUUUGCAGCUCAACUGUUAAAUUGGCCUUUUGAUACUGAUAGGUCUUGAAAUGGUACUG
rnacentral:rRNA from 1 species